GUCUUGGGUCUGAGGUCAGUCUCNUAAAUGAUACAGAGAAGAUUAGCGUGGUCCCUACACAGGGAUGACAUGCAAAUCCACAAGAUUAUAUAUUUCUAG
rnacentral:snRNA from 1 species